UUUAUUGGAGAGUUUGAUCCUGGCUCAGGAUGAACGCUGGCGGCGUGCCUAAUACAUGCAAGUCGAGCGAAUGGAUUGAGAGCUUGCUCUCAAGAAGUUAGCGGCGGACGGGUGAGUAACACGUGGGUAACCUGCCCAUAAGACUGGGAUAACUCCGGGAAACCGGGGCUAAUACCGGAUAAUAUUUUGAACUGCAUGGUUCAAAAUUGAAAGGCGGCUUCGGCUGUCACUUAUGGAUGGACCCGCGUCGCAUUAGCUAGUUGGUGAGGUAACGGCUCACCAAGGCAACGAUGCGUA
rnacentral:rRNA from 1 species